rnacentral:rRNA from 1 species
UACUCGAGUGGCGAGCGGGCGAGUAACACGUGGGUGAUCUGCCCUGCACUUCGGGAUAAGCCUGGGAAACUGGGUCUAAUACCGGAUAGGACCACAUUUUGGAUGGUGUGGUGGAAAGUUUUUCGGUGUGGGAUGAGCUCGCGGCCUAUCAGCUUGUUGGUGGGGUAAUGGCCUACCAAGGCGUCGACGGGUAGCCGGCCUGAGAGGGUGUACGGCCACAUUGGGACUGAGAUACGGCCCAG